rnacentral:rRNA from 1 species
UACGAAGGGGGCUAGCGUUGCUCGGAAUCACUGGGCGUAAAGCGCACGUAGGCGGAUCUUUUAAGUCAGGGGUGAAAUCCCGGGGCUCAACCUCGGAACUGCCUUUGAUACUGCGAAUCUUGAGUCCGAUAGAGGUGGGUGGAAUUCCUAGUGUAGAGGUGAAAUUCGUAGAUAUUAGGAAGAACACCAGUGGCGAAGGCGGCCCACUGGAUCGGUACUGACGCUGAGGUGCGAAAGCGUGGGGAGCAAACAGG